rnacentral:rRNA from 1 species
AUACGGAGGCUCCAAGCGUUAUCCGGAAUCAUUGGGCGUAAAGCGCGCGCAGGCGGCUAUUUAAGUUGGAUGUGAAAGCCUAUGGCUCAACCAUAGAACUGCAUCCAAAACUAUUUAGCUAGAGUGUGGGAGAGGAAGAUGGAAUUAGUUGUGUAGGGGUAAAAUCCGUAGAGAUAACUAGGAAUACCAAAAGCGAAGGCAAUCUUCUGGAACACUACUGACGCUGAGGCGCGAAAGCGUGGGGAGCAAACAGGAUUAGAAACCCUAGUAGUCC